AACGAACGCUGGCGGCAGGCCUAACACAUGCAAGUCGAGCGAGAUCUUCGGGUCUGGCGGCGGACGGGUGAGUAACGCGUGGGAAUAUGCCUCUUGGUACGGAAUAGCCUCGGGAAACUGGGAGUAAUACCGUAUGUGCCCUUUGGGGGAAAGAUUUAUCGCCAAGAGAUUAGCCCGCGUUGGAUUAGGUAGUUGGUGGGGUAAUGGCCUACCAAGCCGACGAUCCAUAGCUGGUUUGAGAGGAUGAUCAGCCACACUGGGACUGAGACACGGCCCAGACUCCUACGGGAGGCAGCAGUGGGGAAUCUUAGACAAUGGGGGCAACCCUGAUCUAGCCAUGCCGCGUGAGUGAUGAAGGCCUUAGGGUUGUAAAGCUCUUUCAGCUGGGAAGAUAAUGACGGUACCAGCAGAAGAAGCCCCGGCUAACUCCGUG
rnacentral:rRNA from 1 species